AAUAUAAACAAAAUAAGUAUUAUAAUGAAUCAGAGAUCAAGGUACGCGUUUCUAUUGCGGAGUGAAUGUUCGAUGUGGAACUAAAUGGAUUUGUGAUAAAUUAAGCGAUUAUAACUGAAAUAUAUACUCUGAUGCAUAUUUGCAAUCAUGGAAGUAGAAGUAACUGGUGGGUUAUGCAGGAUUCAAUCUGUAGAUCGUGCUAGGAAGAUACCAAGUUUAAAUUACUUGUUUGACAAAUCUACUAAAGUUUAUGAUCGUAUGAAAGGAGCUAAUACAUUUGUUAAUUGGGCGUUCGAUAUGAUGGAAAAUGUUGUAAAUACUGUUAUUGAGAAAUCAUUACCGGUCGCUAGAUUAAUGGAAAAGCCUAUUUAUACUUUGGAUAAGACCUUGUGUCAGGGUUUAGAUUUUAUGGAAGUUAAAUUGCCUAUAAUCAAAGAAGAGCCUAAAGAGAUAUUAGAUAAGACCAAAUCGAUAGUCACAAAUCAUCUACGACCAGCUGUAAAAACAUUUUCCAAUCUUAAACAUGAAACAAAACAAAAAGUUAGAAUCAUGAUUUUACUUACUUAUUAUAAGGUGCAUUACUUACGUUUAUAUAGUUGGCAACAAGCAGACAGAGUCAUGUCCACUGAAACGGGAAUCAGUAUUCUAAAAACUGUGGAUAAUACGACACAUCUGGUAGAAUUAAUAUUAGAUAAGUACUUACCUGCAUCACAUGAAGAAAUUGAAGAGGACGCAGAAGAAUUAUGCAGUGAACAUGCCAAGUUACAUCAUACGAUGGAAAGACUUACCGAAUUUGGUAGUCGUACUAUUCGUCGUAUUUAUCUUGCUUUAGUGGAACAUUCUCAACACAUGUAUAAAAUAGAGAUACUUAUAUUAAUAUUGUACGCUCUUAUUGUAAUUCAAACUAUGAAAGUGUUGGAAAUACUAUUUACUUUCGUGUUCAAAUUGUUUAGCAGUUAUGUAUACUUCUUUUUUCUAGGAUUUUUGCACAUAUUACAGUGGACUUAUUCGUAAUUUAAGCAAAAUAAUUUAUAUCAUAUAAUUCUAAGUAUCUUGUGUAAAGGCAUAUUUUACAUAGUCAACAAAAAUUUAAAUUGUGUCAAAUGAAAGAGCGCAAUUGAUUAUAGUUCUGCAAAUUAUUGUUUAUAUAUUUUGUUAAGAUGUUAUUUUCUUUUUAUUAUUAUAUGUUAUUAUUGAUAUGGUUAUAUUUUUAUAGUACUUAUCAUUUGUACGUUUUCUUUAAACAAAUGAAAGAAAAAUGCUUAUCACAGUUUAAUAAUUAAUUUAUUUUUUUAUAGACUAUAAUAGAAAACAAAUAGAGCUUAAAAUAUAAUUGUAUUUUUAUCAAAAAGAAGAAAUCUCCGUUGUUAACCAGUUAACUAUGAUGAAAAAUGAAACGACAAGUACUGGCUAGAGCAACAAGAAAGAAGAUGUGCACUGUGUGGCACAGAAACUGGAACACUGAAGCACCUCAUAGAUAGAUGCCAGAAAGUAAUGAGAACAGAAUUGAAGGAAGAGGAGAUACUAGAAGGUAAAAAGAAUGGAAGGGUAGAGAGAUGGCUAAGGAGUGUGGACAAGCAGAGGAGAAAUCCCAGUAAAGAGCAAAACCAAAGAGUAUGAAUUAGAAAAAGUAGGAUAAGGGAAUGUGCAAGAAAUACUGUGAUAGAGAUAAGGAGGAGUGUGUUAUGUUAAGGAAUAUGUUAGGUUAAGGAAUGUUAAUGUUAAGAAAUGGAAGUAAGUUAGAAAACAAAACAUAAACCAAGUCACUCCACAUGGCUGUAAAGCUGGAAAAAUAAAGAAUAUUAUUAUA
rnacentral:misc_RNA from 1 species